UUCCUAUAUCAUAUAUUUGUGCCACCUUCUCCAUCAAUCACCACCAAUAUCCAUCUCCAUCCAUUUGCGCCACCACCACGACACCCCUUCUUUCCCAUCGAUAUUUCUGUGCAAUAGAGAAGAUCGACUCUAUGAUUUUGUGCCACAUUCAAUUAUGAUGAUGCUCUUGAUCAUGAUCUCCCUCCAUCACAACGUCAGAAAGUGAAACAUAAGCCAUGAAUCACAUGUUUCGGUCCUUCGAGGAAGCUUUUGAAGUUUUAUUGGUUACCAAGUCAUUUUUUGAAGAUCCGCUGUUAAGGAUAUCAAAGGCAGCAUAGGAAAGAUAAAUUGAGUUGAGAAGCAUGGCAAGAAAGUACUUGGAAUAACAUAUUGCUAAAUAGAGUAAUGAUAUAUCUUCCUAAUAGAUUAACCUAAUUAUCCUCCCAAUCAUAUGAUGAAGCCACAUGGAAAAAUCAAGGGGGUGAUGUAUGAAAGAUAAUGAGUGGAUUACACAUGUCAAAAUGUUGUGGUAUUAGGAGGAUUAUUAGGCUAAAGUUUUAGGAGGAUCAAUCAUUUUCCAUACAUGUCUAUGUAAUCCAUUUUCUUUUAAGCACAAACUAAAAACUAUCGGUUUGUUUGUAAGAAAAGCCAUUUUGGUAGCCUUUUUUGUAAACAUAUUUGUAGAUUAUUCAUGUCAAAUUAUAAUGUAUCAACAACCAAAAUAAUAUAGUUAUAUAUUUUAGUUUGCAA